AUUGAACGCUGGCGGAAUGCUUUACACAUGCAAGUCGAGCGGCAGCGCGGCCUUCGGGCUGGCGGCGAGCGGCGAACGGGUGAGUAAUGCAUCGGAACAUGCCCAGUCGUGGGGGAUAACACUUCGAAAGAAGUGCUAGUACCGCAUACGUCCUGAGGGGGAAAGCGGGGGAUCGCAAGACCUCGCGCGAUUGGAGUGGCCGAUGUCAGAUUAGCUAGUUGGUGGGGUAAAGGCCUACCAAGGCGACGAUCUGUAGCUGGUCUGAGAGGAUGAUCAGCCACACUGGGACUGAGACACGGCCCAGACUCCUACGGGAGGCAGCAGUGGGGAAUUUUGGACAAUGGGGGCAACCCUGAUCCAGCCAUUCCGCGUGAGUGAAGAAGGCCUUCGGGUUGUAAAGCUCUUUCGGCAGGAACGAAACGGUGGGCUCUAACAUAGUCCGCUAAUGACGGUACCUGAAGAAGAAGCACCGGCUAACUACGUG
rnacentral:rRNA from 1 species